CCCAAAAAACUCACUACCACUAUUAACAGGGAUCGCUCCUCAGCCUUCGAUGUCCUCUUUUGCUCCAAAUGGCUCUCCUUUGAUCAUCCCCUUUUACCCACCUGAUUCUAUCUCGUCGCCCCAGUGUAGUGUGAUGAACAUGGUAGCAGCCCCAUCAUCGGAAACAGGGGAGGUGCAGGGGCUCUGGUGUAUGGCGAAGCCUAGUGUUCCUUCAGCUAAGGAGGCCAUGGAUUAUGCUUGUAGGGAGGGCAGUGCGGAUUGUGAGGAAAUUAAACCUCAAAGAAGCUAUUACAUUCUCGACACGGUUGUCGCCCUAUGACCAUUAAUGCGGAUCCAAGUUUUAUGCAUUGUCGAUUCAUCCUUUGGUUGAGGUUGCAGACAUGUUAGAAUAAAUUUUUGUUGUUUUCCCUUUUCCUUUUUAUUCCUUGUAAUGUAAUCUCUUUUUACUAUUUAUAGACCUAAAACCUUUGAAAGAUUACUUCACUGUUUGAAA